rnacentral:rRNA from 1 species
GAUGAACGCUGGCGGCGUGCUUAACACAUGCAAGUCGAACGAUGAAGCCCAGCUUGCUGGGUGGAUUAGUGGCGAACGGGUGAGUAACACGUGAGUAACCUGCCCUUAACUCUGGGAUAAGCCUGGGAAACUGGGUCUAAUACCGGAUAGGAGCGUCCACCGCAUGGUGGGUGUUGGAAAGAUUUAUCGGUUUUGGAUGGACUCGCGGCCUAUCAGCUUGUUGGUGAGGUAAUGGCUCACCAAGGCGACGACGGGUAGCCGGCCUGAGAGGGUGACCGGCCACACUGGGACUGAGACACGGCCCAGACUCCUACGGGAGGCAGCAGUGGGGAAUAUUGCACAAUGGGCGCAAGCCUGAUGCAGCGACGCCGCGUGAGGGAUGACGGCCUUCGGGUCGUAAACCUCUUUCAGUAGGGAAGAAGCGAAAGUGACGGUACCUGCAGAAGAAGCACCGGCUAACUACGUG